rnacentral:rRNA from 1 species
GACGAACGCUGGCGGCGUGCUUAACACAUGCAAGUCGAACGGAAAGGCCCUGCUUUUGUGGGGUGCUCGAGUGGCGAACGGGUGAGUAACACGUGAGUAACCUGCCCUUGACUUUGGGAUAACUUCAGGAAACUGGGGCUAAUACCGGAUAGGAGCUCCUGCUGCAUGGUGGGGGUUGGAAAGUUUCGGCGGUUGGGGAUGGACUCGCGGCUUAUCAGCUUGUUGGUGGGGUAGUGGCUUACCAAGGCUUUGACGGGUAGCCGGCCUGAGAGGGUGACCGGCGACAAGGGGACUGAGGGACGGCCCAGACGCCUACGGGAGGCAGCGGGGGGGAGUAUUGCACAGUGGGCGGGAGCCUGAGGCAGCAACGCCGCGUGCGGGAUGACGGCCUUCGGGUUGUAAACCGCUUUCGCCUGUGACGAAGCGUGAGUGACGGUAAUGGGUAAAGAAGCACCGGCUAACUACGUG